rnacentral:rRNA from 1 species
AGCCAUGCAUGCCUCUGUACAAACUUAACUAAAGUGAAACCACGAAUGGCUCAUUAAAUCAGUUACUAUCUAUUGGAUAUGAAAUAAUCUACAUGGAUAACUGUGGUAAUUCUAGAGCUAAUACGUGCAACAUGCCUUGACCUCACGGGAUAGGUGCAUUUUAUUAGACCAAGAUCAACGGGACUUCUUUCGGGAGGUUCCUGCUUGUGAAUGGUGACUCUGGAUAACUACGCUGAUCGCAUGGCCUCUGUGCCGGCGAUGAGUCCUUUGAGUAACUGCCUUAUCAACUAGAUGGUAGGUUAGACGCCUACCAUGGUUGUAACGGGUAACGGGGAAUCAGGGUUCGAUUCCGGAGAGGGAGCCUGAGAAACGGCUACCACAUCCAAGGAAGGCAGCAGGCACGCAAAUUACCCACUCUUAGAACGAGGAGGUAGUGACGAAAAAUACCGGUACGGGACUCUUAGGAGGCCCCGUAAUCGGAAUGAGUACGAUCUAAAUCCUCUAACGAGGAUCUAUUGGAGGGCAAGUCUGGUGCCAGCAGCCGCGGUAAUUCCAGCUCCAAUAGCGUAUAUUAAAGUUGUUGCGGUUAAAAAGCUCGUAGUUGGAUCUCGACUCAUGUUAAGUGGUCCACCUCUCGGUGGUUACUGCUUGACUGAGUUACCUACGGAUUUGUCUCUUGAUUCUCUUAACCGAGUGUCUUGAGCGAUCUGUUCGUUUACUUUGAACAAAUUAGAGUGCUUAAAGCAGGCAUCUCGCCCGAAUAAUCUUGCAUGGAAUAAUAGAAUAGGACUUCGGUUCUAUUCUGUUGGUCUUCGGAUCCGAAGUAAUGAUUAAGAGGGACAGACGGGGGCAUUAGUAUUACGGCGCUAGAGGUGAAAUUCUUGGACCGUCGUAAGACUAACAACAGCGAAAGCAUUUGCCAAGAAUGUUUUCAUUAAUCAAGAACGAAAGUUAGAGGUUCGAAGGCGAUCAGAUACCGCCCUAGUUCUAACCAUAAACGAUGCUAACCAGCGAUCAGCCUGAGUACUUUCAAGGACUCGGCUGGGAACUUCUCGGGAAACCAAAGUUUUUGGGUUCCGGGGGAAGUAUGGUUGCAAAACUGAAACUUAAAGGAAUUGACGGAAGGGCACCACCAGGAGUGGAGCCUGCGGCUUAAUUUGACUCAACACGGGAAAACUCACCCGGCCCGGACACUAUGAGGAUUGACAGAUUGAGAGCUCUUUCAUGAUAUAGUGGGUGGUGGUGCAUGGCCGUUCUUAGUUGGUGGAUCGAUUUGUCUGGUUAAUUCCGAUAACGAACGAGACUCUAACCUAUUAAAUAGAACUACAUCUCCUUCGGGCGAUUGUAGAACUUCUUAGAGGGACAGGCGGCGGUUCAGCCGCACGAGAAAGAGCAAUAACAGGUCUGUGAUGCCCUUAGAUGUCCGGGGCCGCACGCGCGCUACACUGAAGUGUACAGCGUGCAUGUGUUUCCUAUUCCGAAAGGAGUGGGAAACCCUAGGAAUUCUCUUCGUACUUGGGACAGGGCAUUGUAACUAUACCCUUGAACGAGGAAUUCCCAGUAAGCGUGAGUCAUUACCUAGCGUUGAUUACGUCCCUGCCCUUUGUACACACCGCCCGUCGCUACUACCGAUUGAAUGAUUUAGUGAGGUCUUCGGAUUGAGUAGUGAGGCUUUCUUUGAAAGCCGCAUCUAUUUGAGAAGAUGACCAAACUUGAUCAUUUAGAGGAAGUAAAAGUCGUAACAAGGUUUCC